rnacentral:rRNA from 1 species
AAAACAUUCAAGUCGAGCGAAGUAAUCUUGAAUGAAAUUUUCGGAUGGAAUUCUUGAUUAUCUUAGCGGCGGACGGGUGAGUAACGCGUGAGAAACCUGCCUUUCACAAAGGGAUAGCCUCGGGAAACUGGGAUUAAUACCUUAUGACACUAAUAUAUCGCAUGAUAUAUUAGUUAAAGCGCAAAGCGGUGAAAGAUGGUCUCGCGUCCCAUUAGUUAGUUGGUGAGGUAAUGGCUCACCAAGACCGCGAUGGGUAGCCGGCCUGAGAGGGUGAACGGCCACACUGGAACUGAGACACGGUCCAGACUCCUACGGGAGGCAGCAGUGGGGAAUAUUGCACAAUGGAGGAAACUCUGAUGCAGCGACGCCGCGUGAACGAUGAAGGCCUUCGGGUCGUAAAGUCUGU